rnacentral:lncRNA from 1 species
UUUUUCACAGUGUAGACUUUGGUACCUUUUGAAUUUUCAACUAUAUGAAGGCUGCAUCUGGGAAAUGGGUCUGGGUAGGGAAGAGGACUGUUGCUUUUUUAUUGAGUGAAAGUAGCCAGACACAAAAAUUUAGUGUUAUAUUUUCUACAAUGUACAUGAUAAACAUACUAAAAGAAAAGACAAGAUGGGUCAGAUUACAGAGGGCCUUAUAAAAGACCAGGCAUGGAAAUUUAGAGUUGAUUAAGGCCUGAAAAUGGCACUGGCAAUGGUGAUAAAAGGAUGAAUUUAAACACUUAAUAGAAAAAAUCUAGAAAGUAAAAUAUCUGGAUAGAAAAUGAUAGAGGUAAGUGAAGAGGACACCCAAGUUUUGGUGCGAGUAACUGUUACGGACUGAAUUGUGCCUCCCCAAAAUUCAUAUAUUGAAAUCCUAAUCCCUAGUAUGCUUCAGAAUGUGCCUGUAUUUAGAGAUAAGACCUUUAAAGAGAUGAUUAAGGUUAAAAAAUUAUUAGAGAGGUGAAAAAGUUAUUAGAGUGGUCUCCAAUCCAAUAUGAUUAAUGUCCUUAUAAGAAAAGGGAGAGAAACCAGAAAUACAUGCACAAAAGAAAGGCCAUUGCUGGGUACAGUGGUGCAUGCCUGUAAUCCCAACAACUUGAGAAGCUAAAGCAGGAGCAUUGCUUGAGCUCGGGAGUCUGAGGCAGCAGAAUGAGACCCUGCCUCUGGUGCAAAAAAUAAAAUAAAAUAAAAGCCAUGUGAGGACCCACCAAGAAGAUGGCCAUCUGCAAGCCAAGGAGAGAGAGUUCAGGAGAAACCAAACCUGCCAGAAUCUUGAUCUUGGACUUCUGACCCAGAGAACUGUGAGAAAAUAAAUUUCUGUUGUUUUAGCUAUCCAGUCUGUGGUGUUUUGUUAUGGCAGCCUGAGCAGACUAAGACAGUGACUAAGAAAGUGACCAUGCCAUGACCACAGGCAGGAAAGUGGGAAAGGGAGCUAGUUUGAGAAGGGAGGUGAUUUUGAAUUGCAGCACCAGCCAGGCAUAGUGGUUCAUGCCUAUAACCCCAGCACUUUGGAAAGCCAAGCCUAGAGCCCAGCCAUGGGAGGUUUGCCUGAACCCAGGAGUUCAAGACCAGCCUGGGCAAUAUAGUGAGAUGCCAUCUCUACAAAAAACUCAUAAAUUAUCUGGGCAUGGUGGCUUGCAUCUGUAGUCCCAGCUACUUGGGAAGCUGAGGCAGAAGGAUUGCUUGAGCCCAGGAGCUUCAGGCUACAGUUAUCUAUCACAGCAGCACUGCACUCCAGUCUGGGUGACAGACUGAGACCUCAUCUCAAAAAUAAAUAUGUAAAUAAGGCCAGGCAUGGUGGCUCAUGGCUGUAAUCCCAGCACUUUGGCAGGCCAAGGCAGGCAGAUUACUUUAGGUCAGGAGUUCAAGACUAGCUUGGCCAACAUGGCAAAACCCCAUCUCUACUAAAAAUACAAAAAAAUUAGCUUGGUGUGGUGGUGCACGCCUGUAAUCCCAGCUACUCAGGAGACUGAGGUGGGAGGAUCAUUUGAGCCUGGGAGGCAGAGGUUGCAGUGAGCUGAUAUCUGACCACUGCCCUCCAGCCUGGGCUACAGUGUGAGACUCUGUCUCAAAAAAUAAAAAAUUAAAAUAAAUAAAUAAAUACAUAUAUACAUAAAAUAAAAUUUAAAAUUGCAGCCCCAGUGAAAUAUGGCGGCUCACGCCUGUAAUCCCAGCACUUUGGAAGGCCAAGGAGGGCAGAUUACCUGCAGUCAGGAGUUCGAGACCACCUGGCCAACAUGGUAAAACCCCAUCUCUACUAAAAAUACAAAAAUUAGCCAGGCAUGGUGGCACAUGCCUGUAAUUCCAGCUACUCGGGAGGCUGAGGAAGGAGAAUUGCUUGAACCUGGGAGGCAGAGGUUGCAGUGAGCUGAGACAGAGCCACUGCACUCCAGCCUGGGAAACAGAGCAAGACUCCAUCUCAAAAAAAAAAAAAAAAAAGAAAAGAAAGAAAGAAAGAAAGAAAAGAAAAAGAAAACAGAACAGGCCUUUUUAACCGCAGAGGUAAUGGCUACAGGGAAGAUAAUGUGACUUUGGAGUGAAAGGAUAGAGAGAAUAGGGAGCAAGGGAAUACGUAGCAAAGGAAUGGCAAGAGAAAUAAAAGGCAAUAAAAAGGGAAGGAACUGCUAGCAAAUAGGACAGAAGCCAAGGAAGCCGAACAUUUGAGAUACGUGAAAUUCCGGUAAUAAGGGACAAAAUGGUUAAGCUCUUGAUUUGAGACUAAGGAUGGAGAUGGGGCCAUUUAGAAUGCCCAGAUUCAAGAGGCAAGUAGAAAGGAGAGUUGACGAAGGGUCCCGAGCAGGGACAGCUGGAAAAGCAGAGCUGGUGGAACUUGGAGAGCUGUGGCUUCCUGUGGUUGUUGAAGGUGACGGUCAUCUUGAUCCUGGCUGGGCAGUGCUGGAGCAGCUUCCCCACCUGGGGAUCUCACUGGCUAUCCUUCUCCUCAACUUGGAUGUUUAGUUGUCUUUUUAUUUCUUUGUUUAUUGUUGCUAUUGGCUUUGUUUGUGGGUUUAUUUCUUAUUUUGGGACUUUUAGCACAUAAAGUUGGAGAUAAUGAAUGGGAACAGAAUGGGAAAGAGUGGAUAUAAUGAUACACCACAUACCCAUCACCUACUUUCAAUAAUUACCUACACUUUCCCAGUCUUCUUCCAUGUAUUCCCCAUACUCUAUUGUCUAUUUUUCUGGAGAAUUUUGAAGUAAAUCUAAUAUAUCAUACCAUUUUACUUGUAAUUAUUUUAGAGGAUAUCUCUAAAGAUAAGGGUUUUUCUCAUUUAAAAAACACAGCCACAAGUCAUCACCACACCUAAAAAAUUUUAUUGGGGUAAAGUUUUUUUGUUUUUUUUUUUUGAGACGGAGUCUUGCUCUAUU